rnacentral:snRNA from 1 species
AAUGACAAAUGUAAACAUCUG